rnacentral:rRNA from 1 species
UCAAUUGUUUUAUAAUUGAAGACUAGAAUGAAUGGUUGAAUGAAAUGAAGACUGUCUUGUUUGUAUUUAUUAGAAAUUGGCUUUUAGAUGAAGAGAUUUAAAUGUAAUUAAUAGACAAGAAGACCCUAUUGAGCUUUAGAUAAUUUUGAGGGUUUAGUUUUAUUUGUAGAAAUAUAGAUUUUAAAUUUUUUUUGGUUGGGGCGACCAAGGAGCAAAAAAAGCUUCCUUUUAGGUAUGAGAUUAUUUUAGGUUUUGAUCCAAUAUAGUUGAUUGAAAGAGAUAGUUACCGUAGGGAUAACAGCAUAAUCUUCUUUGAGAGUUCAUAUCGAAAAGGGGGGUUGUGACCUCGAUGUUGGACUAAAAUAUCCUAUAAAUGCA